rnacentral:rRNA from 1 species
GAUGAACGCUGGCGGCGUGCCUAAUACAUGCAAGUCGAGCGAACGGACGAGAAGCUUGCUUCUCUGAUGUUAGCGGCGGACGGGUGAGUAACACGUGGAUAACCUACCUAUAAGACUGGGAUAACUUCGGGAAACCGGAGCCAAUACCGGAUAAUAUUUUGAACCGCAUGGAUCAAAAGUGAAAGACGGUCUUGCUGUCACUUAUAGAUGGAUCCGCGCUGCAUUAGCUAGUUGGUAAGGUAACGGCUUACCAAGGCAACGAUGCAUAGCCGACCUGAGAGGAUGAUCAGCCACACUGGAACUGAGACACGGUCCAGACUCCUACGGGAGGCAGCAGUAGGGAAUCUUCCGCAAAGGGCGAAAGCCUGACGGAGCAACGCCGCGUGAGUGAUGAAGGUCUUCGGAUCGUAAAACUCUGUUAUUAGGGAAGAACAUAUGUGUAAGUAACUGUGCACAUCUUGACGGUACCUAAUCAGAAAGCCACGGCUAACUACGUG